GGAAGCGUGGCCGAGCGGUCGAAGGCAGCGGUCUUGAAAACCGCCGGGCGGGCAACCGUCCCGUGGGUUCGAAUCCCACCGCUUCCG
rnacentral:tRNA from 1 species